UACGGGGGGGGCAAGCGUUGUUCGGAAUUACUGGGCGUAAAGGGCUCGUAGGUGGCCAACUAAGUCAGACGUGAAAUCCCCAGGCUUAACCUGGGAACUGCGUCUGAUACUGGAUGGCUUGAAUCCGGGAGAGGGAUGCAGAAUUCCAGGUGUAGCGGUGAAAUGCGUAGAUAUCUGGAGGAAUACCGGUGGCGAAGGCGGCAUCCUGGACCGGCAUUGACGCUGAGGAGCGAAAGCCAGGGGAGCAAACGGG
rnacentral:rRNA from 1 species